UAGGCACUGCAAUCCCACAGUGCACCGCAGUAGGCAGUGUAUUACCCUAGUGGACAGGGGAUUAUCCAUAAUGCACUGCGUUUUUGGUUUGAAGAUUCACACACAACUUCUAGCAGGAUUAGCGAGCCCAGCACAUCAUCAUCUCCACAGGCCCUUUCUCAGACAUAUAAGCUCUUCUCAUGUGUGCAAACCCAGCAGAUACCACUAAAACACUGAACCGUGGAAUCUCUGAGUUCAUCGUGACGGCUGCUGAUGCUGAACCACUGGAGAUUAUUCUCACCUUCCGUUGCUGUGUGAGGACAAAAAUGUGCCUUGUGUUUCUGUGAGGUCUAAACAAGCCCUUGGACGAGCAUGUGGGGUGUCGAGACCAGUCAUCACCACGUCAAUCACCAUUAAGGAAGGAUCCCAACUGAAACCUCAGAUUCAGUCAGUGCAGAUGGCUGUUGAGAGACUAUUGGUCUGAGCCUGCUGUAAUUUCAGAUGUCUAGUCUGUUUAAUGUAUGUAGAUUCUCUAAUCCCAUGUACAGAAUCAUGAGGGGUUUUUCACUGUAAUCUGGUUUUAUGGUAGUUUUGUGAUAAGAUUUUGGCCUGAAACAGUUUUAAUCCAAGUUUAUCACCACUUUACCACACAACAUUACAUAUAAAACAUAAAGACACAGGUUCAGCUGUAGGUUUGGAAAUAGUAAAUAAAAAGGCUGUGUUUGUAUCGUA